CUACAUUCCAAUAAUUGAGUAGUAUCAGAAAUCUUGAAACUCAAAAAAUUUGGCGGUGUUUAAAUCUAUUCAGGGGAACCUGUUCCAUAAUCGAUAUUACACGAAAAUCUUAUCUUCUUACAGUUUGUAUAUCGCCGUAGUAAUUAUAUUUAAAAUUAAUGAUUAAUAAAUAUUUUAUUUCAAACUUCAGGUCAAGGUUCAGCUAAUGAGAAGAUUGAGAAUGGGUUACAAUAUUUCAAAAUAAUACGAAAUUUUUACAUAAAACAAAAAGGAAGGUGGAUUUGAAAGUAAUUUUUAAAUAAUAAAUUAAAAUGAAUUAGCUCUAAAAUAUGC
rnacentral:rRNA from 1 species